GGAAAAUAAAUUUUAGAAGAUACCAUAAAUGUAUAAAAAAAAAAUUUUCUCAUUGUCUGAUCCUAAUUAAACCCAUAUGAAAAUUGAGAUUACUGAUCCUAUGAAAUUAGAAUUUAAUCUAUUAGUCCAAUUCAAAUAAGCAUGCCAAAUAUAAGAUUAACAUUUUAUCCUAAAAGUUAGUUCAAUCAUACACGUAAUCCUAACUUCUAGACAUAGCGUACGUUAAUAACUUCUAUCCAUCACUACAUUAUUGCGAAGUACUCCUCAGGGUAUAGAUUUUGCAUAUGUUAGACAUAAUUAAAUUGAAGGGAGUGUUACACAUACACAACUAGCCUGUUGCCACGUACCAGUAACUGGAAGGGAUAAGUUUAGUAUAAUUGGAUGGCCUCCCAUUAUGGAAUUUACAUCUUGUUCGGAACAUGACAACAUCAACUGAAUACAGGAGCAUAUAAUUGAGAGCCUUUACAAGCUUUGCCUAAAAUUGGCUUUUUUUUUUUUUUUAUUUAAGGCACUUUUAGUUUUACUUAUUUGGCCUAUUUAAUUUAAAUUAUUGGAGCACGUCUUAUUUAAAUUCACAACACUCAUAUCAAUAUAUCAUAGUUUUAUUAGUUCUUUUUAGGUGACACUUCAUUGUGACAAUUUUUUUUUCCCUAUAUAGUGAUUAGCAUUGUUUUAUAUUUUAUGUUUUAUCGAUGAUUAGUUCAGCAAGGAUCAAAAUAAACUAAUAGCGAUUUUAAAUUUAUGUUUGGUUGGAAAAAUGAGAGGAGAAGAGUGCAAUGAAAAUGAAAGAUGUAGGGAAAAAUGAGAGAAAAAUAGUACUAAGCUCAAAUUCACUAUUUGGUUUAACAUCUAAUUCAUUUAUUUUUCCACUAUUUCUUUCCCUUUUCCUCCUUUCCUUUUAUUUCUUCGAAUUAAAUAUGUCAUAAAUUUCUUAUCCUAAAUGGUGGUGACUAGUGAGGACUUUAUUUGUCAAAAAUGCAUCAAAUAUAACAAACAAAGUGUCAACAGUAGAGCUAGGUACUAUCCGACAAAAAUCUUGAGUCCAUGAAUUUACAAAUAAUAAACAAUAUAAUAAGGUCAAAUAAAUCAAUAUAAUAAAGUCGAAUAUGAAACAAACUUACAUAGUUUAGAAAUCUACUGCAAUUUACAAAACCACAACAAUAAAUAAAACGAGAAAGCAACAACAAAAAUCACAUGUGAAAGAAACUUUAAAAUUUCAUUGCCAAUUUCCCAUUCUUGAUUCUUCAAUACGUCUUCUAACAAUAUAUAUUAAAACUCUAUACCAAGUUAUCAAAAUACAUCCACCUACACAUCAUAAUACAUACGUUAUCUCUCGAAGUGAGAUAAACAACGACAAUUAAAUAAAUUAAAUAAAAUGAAUACUGUCACACUUUUUUUCUGAACCGUUUGAUUUUUCAAAUUAGUUUAAUUUUAAACCGAACCAAAUAAUAAUCAAUCGGUUCAAAAAUUUAUAAACUACUUGUUUUUUACUGCCGAACGGAACCGAAUCACCGCCCAGCCUUUUGGCACUGUCCACGAUACAAACAACCAACAACGCCAUUUAGCCACAGGGUUCUGGCAGCUGCUGUGUUUGGAGCCCAUUGACGAAAACAAACCCAUCGUCACAUGAAGUUUGGACUUGGAGCUUUGCAUCGUGAAAGCCCAAAGGUGAACCGAUCCAGCAAAGAUGGCGGGAACUUUUUUCUUUUUUUUUAUUUCAUUUUACUUUUCAGGAUUAACGUGCCACAGCACCUUGUUCCAUUUA
rnacentral:lncRNA from 1 species